UACUUUAUUGUUUCUCCCUUCUCUUUCUCCCUUCCUCCUCUCGACAACUUCCCUCCCUUCUUCUUUUCUUUUUCUUUCCCUUCUCUCUUUCUCUUCUCCCCCUCAUGCAUUCCCCCUUCUACCGUAGCUCCCCCAUCUUCUUUCACCUCCAUUCAUUUGCUUUUAUUUUUUUCUAACUUCAUCAUCUACUUGUCUCGCCACCAUCAUCCUCCCGAUUGCACACUAUCUGUCUAAUCCAUGCACCCUUGGCCUUGAGCUCAGCUUCGACGAACCAUCGCUGGGAGUUCUUCAAUACACAAAUUGAUGGGCUAACAUUUUCAGGUCCCUAGUUGGAGAGUGGACAGGCAAGAGGCAAAGGUCUACAGGCAGUGGAGUACGGAUGCCUUGGUAGCUUCUGCCAGAUAGUGACGGGUCUGCCGUUAAGUCUGGAUAGUGGGUGACCACUCACCUUAGUCUAUUGAAGAGUCUAGCAAGGUUGUACAUAGAGACCUGACCCCAUGGGCAAAGAGCUCAGAGCGUAGUUAGCCUAGGAGCUUUUCAUUUUGAAACACUCCAUGUUUUGUUAGACUCUUCUGUAUUUGAAUGCUAUAGUAAGAGUAAGUGCGGUUUGUAAUACGUGUAUGGUUUGUAAAAAUAUAAUCCUAUGUUUGCUAUCUCAUUUAUGUGUUGUUGGGAGAA